rnacentral:rRNA from 1 species
GGGCCCGCACAAGCGGUGGAGCAUGUGGUUUAAUUCGAUGAUACGCGAGGAACCUUACCAGGGCUUAAAUGCAGAACGACCGGGGUGGAAACACCCCUUUCUUCGGACGGUCUGCAAGGUGCUGCAUGGUUGUCGUCAGCUCGUGCUGUGAAGUGUCGGGUUAAGUCCCAUAACGAGCGCAACCCUAUUUCUAGUUGCCAGCGGUUCGGCCGGGGACUCUAGAGAAACUGCCAGCGUAAGCUGUGAGGAAGGUGGGGAUGACGUCAAAUCAUCACGGCCCUUACGUCCUGGGCUACACACGUGCUACAAUGGUAGGGACAGAGAGUUGCCAACCCGCGAGGGUGAGCU